AUGCAAGUCGAGCGGAAACGAGUAAUCUGAACCUUCGGGGAACGAUAACGGCGUCGAGCGGCGGACGGGUGAGUAGUGCCUAGGAAAUUGCCCUGAUGUGGGGGAUAACCAUAGGAAACGAUGGCUAAUACCGCAUGAUGCCUACGGGCCAAAGAGGGGGACCUUCGGGCCUCUCGCGUCAGGAUAUGCCUAGGUGGGAUUAGCUAGUUGGUGAGGUAAGGGCUCACCAAGGCAACGAUCCCUAGCUGGUCUGAGAGGAUGAUCAGCCACACUGGAACUGAGACACGGUCCAGACUCCUACGGGAGGCAGCAGUGGGGAAUAUUGCACAAUGGGCGCAAGCCUGAUGCAGCCAUGCCGCGUGUGUGAAGAAGGCCUUCGGGUUGUAAAGUACUUUCAGUCGUGAGGAAGGCGGCGUUGUUAAUAGCGGCAUCGUUUGACGUUAGCGACAGAAGAAGCACCGGCUAACUCCGUGCCAGCAGCCGCGGUAAUACGGAGGGUGCGAGCGUAAUCGGAAUUACUGGGCGUAAAGCGCAUGCAGGUGGUAUGUUAAGUCAGAUGUGACAGCCCGGGGCUCAACCUCGGAAUAGCAUCUGAAACUGGCAGACUAGAGUACUGUAGAGGGGGGUAGCAUUUCAGGUGUAGCGGUGACAUGCGUAGAGAUCUGAAGGCAUACUCGGUGGCGAAGGCGGCCCCCUGGACAGAUACUGACACUCAGAUGCGAUAAGCGUGGGGAGCAAACAGGAUUAGAUACCCUGGUAGUCCACGCCGUAUACGAUGUCUACUUGGAGGUUGUGGCCUUGAGCCGUGGCUUUCGGAGCUAACGCGUUAAGUAGACCGCCUGGGGAGUACGGUCGCAAGAUUAAAACUCAAAUGAAUUGACGGGGGCCCGCACAAGCGGUGGAGCAUGUGGUUUAAUUCGAUGCAACGCGAAGAACCUUACCUACUCUUGACAUCCAGAGAACUUUCCAGAGAUGGAUUGGUGCCUUCGGGAACUCUGAGACAGGUGCUGCAUGGCUGUCGUCAGGUCGUGUUGUGAAAUGUUGGGUUAAGUCCCGCAACGAGCGCAACCCUUAUCCUUGUUUGCCAGCGAGUAAUGUCGGGAACUCCAGGGAGACUGCCGGUGAUAAACCGGAGGAAGGUGGGGACGACGUCAAGUCAUCAUGGCCCUUACGAGUAGGGCUACACACGUGCUACAAUGGCGCAUACAGAGGGCGGCCAACUUGCGAAAGUGAGCGAAUCCCAAAAAGUGCGUCGUAGUCCGGAUUGGAGUCUGCAACUCGACUCCAUGAAGUCGGAAUCGCUAGUAAUCGUGGAUCAGAAUGCCACGGUGAAUACGUUCCCGGGCCUUGUACACACCGCCCGUCACACCAUGGGAGUGGGCUGCAAAAGAAGUAGGUAGUUUAACCUUUCGGGGGGACGCUUA
rnacentral:rRNA from 1 species